rnacentral:rRNA from 1 species
CCUACGGGUGGCUGCAGUGGGGGAUAUUGCACAAUGGGGGAAACCCUGAUGCAGCGACGCCGCGUGUGGGAAGACGGUCUUCUGGAUUGUAAACCACUGUCCCCAGGGACGAAAAUGACGGUACCUGGGGAGGAAGCUCCGGCUAACUACGUGCCAGCAGCCGCGGUAAUACGUAGGGAGCAAGCGUUGUCCGGAAUUACUGGGUGUAAAGGGAGCGUAGGCGGGGAUGCAAGUUAGGUGUCAAAACUACCGGCUCAACCGAUAGUCGCACUCAAAACUGCAGCUCUUGAGUGAAGUAGAGGCAGGCGGAAAUCCUAGUGUAGCGGUGAAAUGCGUAGAUAUUAGGAGGAACACCAGUGGCGAAGGCGGCCUGCUGGGCUUUUACUGACGCUGAGGCUCGAAAGUGUGGGGAGCAAACAGGAUUAGAUACCCGUGUAGUC